rnacentral:rRNA from 1 species
UACGUAGGUGGCAAGCGUUAUCCGGAAUUAUUGGGCGUAAAGCGCGCGCAGGCGGUUUCUUAAGUCUGAUGUGAAAGCCCACGGCUCAACCGUGGAGGGUCAUUGGAAACUGGGGAACUUGAGUGCAGAAGAGAAAAGCGGAAUUCCACGUGUAGCGGUGAAAUGCGUAGAGAUGUGGAGGAACACCAGUGGCGAAGGCGAGUCCCUGGACGAUACCUGACACUGAGGCACGAAAGCCGGGGGAGCAAACAGG